UGAGACUUGAUCAUGUAUCAUUUGCUUUACCCAUGUUUCUUAUUUAAUCAUCACAAUAACCAUAUGAGGCAUUAUUUUCUCCAUUUUAUGGAGUAAAGAUGAAGUUGUGAGAGGGUAACUUGGUCAAAGUAACACUGAUACUGUUAAAUUCAAGUUUCACUCCCAAUUUUGUCUCCCUGCAAAAUGAAUAUAUUUUCUGGUUCGAAACACUGCCUUCUGCCCAUCGCAGGCUGCCUCUGAAACAUGUCACUUGACUUUGACUCAUUGAAUCUUAGAAGUGGAAAAAAUCCUGUGCAAAUAGUCUGACUAAUAGCUUGUUUUACAUAUGAAGAAACUGAAGACCAGAAAAGGGGUGUUAUUAGGCAAAAGUGAGACAUCUAGUUAGCGUCAGAGUUAAGGCUGGAACCCAGCUCACAGAUAAUCUGCUUAUAGCUCUUUGUCAAUAGAGAGCCUGAAAAUAGGGCCUGAUACUAAUCAGCAGAGAUGUAUAAAUGUGCACUAUCACUGGCCCACUAGCCUCAAAGGGGGUCUUAGGACAAGAAAAAUGUUGAAAAAGAAUUGAGUGGCAUUUGGAUGAAAAAAAAAAUAGUAGAAGGAAUUUUUGUUUGUUUUUAGUGUUUGCAGAAAUCUAUGACACUAAGGAAAGAGUCUCUUUACACAGUAGCUUUCAAAUUAGCCUCCGAGUCCCUCAGGGGAGAAUGAUUCUGUAUCAUACUAUGUGGAUUACCUGUGUCAGACACCACACAGUUGGCCCACAAGUAGCCAUUUAUAUGGAGAGAAGAGCAAGAAGCUUAAUGUCUCUAUCUUUCCAGAAGAAACAAGUGGGCAAGAUGAGUGAAAUGCUGAAGGUGUGCUUUAAAAAAAGAGAAAGAAGGAAAGAACAAGAAAUUGUAGACUUUUAAUUGAUGAUGUCAUCCAGUGCUUACCAGGACUCUCUGCUGUAGGUCAAUAGAAGGAUGCAGAUGCAGCCAAGGAUGACUGGUACAUUAUGGACAAGUUUUCUCAUUAUUUUGGGGGUAACAGUUUUCUGAGAUAUAAUUCUGUACCAUAAAACUCACACAUUCUGAAAUGCAGAAUUCCAUAGUUUAAUAUAGUCUGAGUUGCGCAACUGACACCAUCAUUAACUUUAGAUCAGUUUCUUCACCCAAAAAAGAAAUCCAUAUAGCCCUCUCCUGCACCAUGCUUCAAGAUGCUAGAAACCACUAAUCUGCUUUCUGUGUCUAUUUCUGGACAUUUCAUAUAAGUUGAAUCAUACAAUAACAGUGAGUUUUUAAGGAGAGGCAAAGGCAACAUUUGUAAGCACCUAAAUAAUUUAUUAAGUACUUUACCUAUAUUUUCUUAUUUAAUUUGUGAAACAGCCAUUUAAGUUAGGUAAUAUUCCCAUUCUAUUUAUUUUAUUUAUUUUUAUUCAUUUGAAAGAAACAGGACAGACAGGCAAACAUAGAUCUUCUUCUACUGCUUCAUUCUCCAAAUAACCACAAGAGCUG
rnacentral:lncRNA from 1 species